UAGCAGCGAUAUGAACUCAUCGAAGCUGAUACCCUCGAUCGGCUGGAGGGAAAGUUUGGUGAACACUUCCUGGGCCGCGAGCUUAGCUGGAAGCUUCUGCAGGCCAACCCGUUCGCAGACCACCUCCAACUGGCCUCGAUUAAGCAGAUCUCCGUGGCCGCCAUCCAGGAGCGAGUCCCAGACCUCCCGCAGGUUUUCCGACAAACGCAUAAAGUAAAUCUUUUUAUCGAUCGUCUCAUCCAUGUUCAGCUGAUCGCGAACGUUUUUCGUGUUUAUGAGCGUUCGAUUAACAAGGUCUGGCCGCUGUCGAUGAGUCGGUAGAGAGGCACACCGUUUCAGCCUGUUGACGCCUAGGGGGCGCUUUCGUUUAGAACCGUGUAUAUCGCUCUGGGAUGCGGAUCGCUGCACUUGUUUGGAGGAAUUGUUUUUACCAUCUUCGGUGGAGCUUUGCUGCUGCUGCUGCUGUUGGGGAACGGAUUCAUUGUCCGAGUUGCUGACAUCCGAGCCACUGUCCAGUCCGUUGCAGUCAUCGGUUCGGGGACGCGAUCGACGGCCGUAUUUUUUCGUCCCAACCACAAACUUGGGCGACACUUCCCGAUCUGAUGAUACGUGCUCAUCAUCAUUAUCGGAAUGCUGACCCGUUGUUGUUGUGGGGAGCUGCAUAGUCGAUGAUACCGAAUCCCCUGAUGGUGCCAUCUUUUUCUGGUUGCCACUUCCAAUGAUCACCGAUUGGCCAUCGGCCGUUUCUACUACGGCCGCAUUAGUUGGCGAUGAUGAGUUACUAAUUCGACAGGUUAGGUGUGGAGGCCGUUUCUUCGAUGAGAGUCUUAUACUAGUCGGGCUCGUUGCUGCAUUUGAAUUAUCACUUCCGCCUCCACUCGAUAAAGUUGCUGCCGUGGGCGAUUCUGACGGAAUGUUCUGGCCAUUUUCAGUCGCAUCUGUUGAGGAGAAAGAACAAAACAAAAUUAGAAGUUUUACAAAUUGAUGGCGAGUUAAAAGAAGAUGGAAGCACCCCCACCAAAGAAUGUUUCACCCAUCGAAAUCUUACACAGUAUGAUUAACAUGACGGCAGGGCGAAUGAUGAAACGGCCCUGAUAUAAUGCCGCUUUGGGCCACCACCAAGUCGUCUUCGUGACUGCACUCGGGCAAUCGCUCGAACCGAAUGCCUUCGCAGGUUAGCCAUUAGCUUAACAAAAAACACCAAGCAGUAAUGCUAUUCCGCCUAAACUUAAAACCAUAUAAACUCCACAUACGCAUCAAGCAGCAGCGCAGUCAACCAACGCGAUUAUUUACCAUCAUUAACAUUGGGCCAGCCAGCAGUUCGGCUUCGGUUUAAGAUCGAUGGCAAUCGACGACGACGACGGGGGAUCGCAAAAAUGAACUUAAACAACACCUCCACCAACCAACUAACUGCCGCUAAACUUAGCAAAAGCAACAGGCAGCAAGUGUUUACAAGAUCUGUAAUUGUAUUUAUGUGCGAGAAUCAGCACCUCUCUAGGUAGGUAUAUCUAGCUUAGCCUAGUCUAGAGCUUCAACGGCAAUCGAGUUGCGCGAGACACCCCGUAUGGAUAAAGGGUAGGAACCCUGCUUCACGAGUUUACGGUCGUUGUUCUGUUUACACUUAAUUUCCUUCCAAUCAAUUUAAGAGCCGUUCAUUGGGGGGGAAGGUCGUCAAUUUUGUGUACCUUUUUUUUGGAACCAUGUUUACAAAUUUAAAAAAAGAAACAAGUGGCUAAGGAAAGCUAUUCCAAAUUAAACAAGGUGGCUUUAAAAGGUAAGUCACCUUUGUUUACACCUUGUAACUCUUCCUGGUGAGAUCUUGGUGCGAUGUGAUUAAGUGUGUCUUAUGGAAAAAUGUGGACGAGAACACACAGUUGAUUCUAGAUGUUCCGGUUUGUGCCUUACCUUACACGGAAAAAUUUAGUUAUUCAUAAAAUGUGUUGAGAAUAUACGUUCAUCAUAACUAAUCGAUUGAUGCUCAAUAUUUGUAUACCCCCAAUUCAAUUUUGAGUAGUUUUGGGUGGACAAUAUACAAAUGAAAACUAAAUCUCGAUUAUUCAUGCUCUGAAUAAAAAGUUUGCUGUUGUUGGAAUUUUAUUUGAAGGGGUGUCAGAGCGGAAAAAACAAAAAGUUUUGAAACUUUUUGGUGGUAUAUCGCGGACGUUGUAAGGUGCGAACCAGUUCCGACGAAGCUCUAAGCAAGAAAAGGUACGGAAAGGUAAGGCGCAGAAUAUCCGCGUCGGUAUGGAACGGAAGAACCUGAGAAACGAGUUCGAUCUGACCGGGGAAAUUCUCGGAAUCAAUCCGUACAUUGCCACCCUGUGGAUCUUUCGGCGGAUGUGGAUCAAACGGCAUGAGUAAGUCCAUUGUAUCUUUUUUUUUUUCUUUGAUGUAAGAUUUCGAGCUUAUAAAAUUUUUCUUAUUAGAUGAACUAUCAACUUCAUUUAUUUCCAGGAAAAUGCAAAAAAAAAAUAAAAAACGGCAAGUGAACCAGAAAUUGUACUGUGCCUGUAUCACCGGUGUUGGAUUCUGGAAACGCUCCGACGGACCCAAGAAACUAUAAGUCGAUUUCUUCUCACGGCAUUUACUGUCAUUUUCGGAUAAUCAACGAUAGGUUGCAAAACAAACUGUUCCCAAAGUUCAGCUGAACUUAUAAACCGAUACCGAUACGAUUCAGAACAGCAUUUCCAGCUACUCAUCGUGCCACUACCGAAGGAAGCUGCUUCGGUGCUUGAUUUCCAACAUUCAAUCGGCGGCUUCAUAUUCAUUCAUUCAACACUUCGCGUAUACUGCAUUCCCAUACAAACAUCUAAACUUCAUACUGCAAGCUUGACGGAAGAGUCUUUUAAUUCUGGUCAUCUCAUCGGAACUUUUUUAAAAGAUCCUCGAUUCCCCCUGGGCCCCCUCUAGGUUAGGCAACAUGUUGAUGUGGUCCGUACCGGAUGUUCAAACGAAUGUCUUACCAGUUGAACCUUGAACCAUGUUUGGUGUUACGUUUGUUGCGGAUCUAAAUGAGAAAGAACAUUCCGGCAUUAGAAUUACCGGUAUUAUGUGUAUUUGACAAUAAAUAUUUUAUAG